CAAAUCAGUGAUGACAACUGGUGGUGGAUGAGUCAUGAGCAAUAAAUAAUAUGCCUGGAACCUUAAGGUCCGU
ensembl:snoRNA